CCCUUAGAUGUUCUGGGCCGCACGCGUGCUACACUGAGUAAUUCAAUGGGUAAGGGAACGCUAGAGCAUUACCUAAUCUUGAAAUUUGCUCGUGAUGGGGAUCGACGGUUGCAAUUUUCCGUCGUGAACGAGGAAUACCUUGUAGGCGCAUGUCAUCAUCAUGCGCCGAAUACGUCCCUGCCCUUUAUACACACCGCCCGUCGCUCCUACCGAUUGAGUGAUCCGGUGAGGCUCUGGGACCUGGACGGAAAGAGCGUUUCGCUUGUUCUGUUUGGGAAACUUGGUCGAACCUUAUCAUUUAGAGGAAGGAGAAGUCGUAACA
rnacentral:rRNA from 1 species